rnacentral:rRNA from 1 species
CGUACCCAUAUCCGCAGCAGGUCUCCAAGGUGAACAGCCUCUAGUCUUUGAACAAUGUAGGCAAGGGAAGUCGGCAAAUUAGAUCCGUAACUUCGGGAAAAGGAUUGGCUCUAAGGGCUGGGCCGUUCGAGCUCCGGUUAGAAGCGAUGGUCGAUGCGUAGGAACUGGGUAAACUGAUCGCAAGGUUGGUGAACUCGGACCUUAGUCAUUGUGCUGCCGUGGAAGGCCGAAGCUACGUCGUGUGAUUCUUCGCGGGAUUGCCGAUUUCGGGCGGCGCUAAGCAGCCAACUUAGAACUGGUACGGACACGGGGAAUCCGACUGUCUAAUUAAAACAAAGCAUUGCGAUGGCCUGAGAAGGUGUUGACGCAAUGUGAUUUCUGCCCAGUGCUCUGAAUGUCAACGUGAAGAAAUUCAAUCAAGCGCGGGU